rnacentral:lncRNA from 10 species
CCAGCUGCACCCCUGUCUGUAAUCCAUGUGCCUAGCCAAGAGCUAAGCAAAGGAACACAGCUCAGCAUACUGACAGGUGCCUUGCAGGCACAAUGAUAAAAGGUACAACCCUAGUGCUAGAAUCUUACUGGACACCAGACUCACACAAAGUGCUUGGUUGUAUCACACAGAUGCAGAAAACCAAAGGAGAGAAAGCAGGGCAAGCUGGGCUGGGAGAGCCUAGUAGAGGAGAAGGCCAUGCAGGACGGGUGAGUGAGGGUACUCUGGGCCAGGGGCAUAGCCUGAACAAAGGUGAAGCCACCCACAGUCCUUUGGGAUCCAUGCCUCAAAGCUUUCCAAGAAACUUUCGCAAUCCUUGUUCUGCUAAAUUUCCGUACUUUGGCCCCAAUGGGUAAAAGUUAAGUCUCCUAAACAGAAGUCCUCCCUCUAAUCUAACCCUGGAUUAGCCACCAAAGACAACAACAAUCUUUUGGGACAAAGACAAUGAAUUACCAUUUAAUCCACUUUCCCCAAAGCUCCCAAAGGGAGAUGAAGGAGGGGAGGGUCAGGGAAAGUUUGGGGGAGGAGAGGGGGUUGCAGGAACAACCAGAACAUCUCACAUGCAAACACUGCUCACCCCCACCACCAGGCCAUUGGAUUCUCUUGCGGCACCACCAGCCCCAUUUGACAGAUGGAGGAAAUGAGGCUCGGAGAGUUCAAAUGGCUUGCUCCGGGGUCACCCAGCCAGAGAGUGGGGAAGGUGACUCCACUCAGGCCUUCUGACUCCAAGUCCAGUGCUAUUUCUAGGUAACACACAGGACCUGGAGUCAGGAGCCCUGGGUGGCUCUGUCACCCUCUGGCUGCAUGGUCCCAUACAAGCCGCUCACUCCUCGCAGCCUCUUUCUCCAGCUGUAAAAUAAGGAGGAGCACACUGGGCCCGCCCAGGUCCUCUUCCGGCUGGGCUCUCCGAGCCUUCUAGGGGCGGCUCAAAGCUCAUCCUAUCAAUUACAUUUCCCAAGUUGGGCCGGCAAAGAUCACCAGAAGAUCCUCGGCCUGUCAUGUGGUUAAAUAAAAAAAGCAAAUGUCCCAGAUUAACUUUCACUGCACUGCUCCUGCAAACACCUGAGUAUUCAAUUUUCUAGUUUCCUUAGUUGAAAUAUUUCUGCUAGCUAGGCUCGCUGGGCGGCUAAAGGGCAAAAUAAUUAAUUAUUGCUGAGCCAAACACUGAAGAUCGAGUUAAAAUCCGGGGUACAGUCCAAAGCGGACAGUUCUUGACAUGGGUCCCUGAACGAGUCUCCGGCUAUUUCAGGCCUCUCUCAUCCGCUUUUCAGCCAAGAGAUUCGGAGACGCCCCAGGGCAAUUUCGAGAUCUGGGGACAGAAUCUUCCCAGGAGUGACUCUGCCCCUCCUCCCGCACUCAGUGCCCGCUAGCCCCAAGCUGUCGGCUCUGGGGGUACUGAGGCUGGGACCUGCCUUCGGCGCAGACACCGGCGCGGGGCGUGUGACGGAGCCCGGCGACGACGGCGGGAGCUCCACCGCAGUUUCGUCAGAGGUAAAGAAAUGAGACGUUGCUUUGGAUGAGCAGGGUGGGGCUCAGCCUGUUCAGGGAAUGAAGAAGCCCGCCUGAGCUGAGGCUUGAAGGAUGCAUACUGAGCCUUUAGUGUCAUAGCCAAGAAAUAACUGCCAAAUCUAAUGUCACGAAGCUUAAUACUGAACCCAUUUUGGUGGCCGUCCACAACAUCCUCGUUGAGAGAAGGACUAUGGCUGAAUGACUAAUAACUACCCCCUCUAUCCAACACACACACACACACACACACACACACACACACACACAGAGAGACACACACAGCUCUUGGAAAUAGCCCACAGGAGGGAGAAUGUACUAUCUGGGCUGCCAAGAGCCCUGGGUUCUAGCCUGUCCCCUACGACCAGUGUACCACUUUGGGCAACCUUGGGGCAAAGCCCUUGACUAAUCCAGUUUCUGUUUCCCUCCACACCCUUCAAUCAACAGCUCAAGGAACGACAAAGCAAUCUUUAUGGCUGUCAUAUUGGCUGGAUUAUAGGACUACAAAUAAGGCCGUUUCUAAAUAAUUCCCAAACUGUUCAGAUAUGAAGGGUGUAAUGGGCAGAGACUGGCAUCGGCUGGGGAGCCGGACAAAGCAAGAUUGCCAGAGGCCUUGGUAACUGCUUAUGGUGGCUACACUGGCCUGGAACCAGUGCCAAGUCAAAUAUAUGUACAAAGAGGAGGCUCAAAUUCCCCUUCUCAGGCCAGCCCUGGCAGGCUUGCUGCCUCCACUGGAAAGAUAGAAAGCAAAGGCACAGAGAGGUUAAUGUAGCCACGUGAGCAUCUAUAGGGUAAUCAAGAAUUAACCCCAUUAGGGCAACACCCAAUUCCUAACUUCUUACAGGCUCUAAGUUACUGAAUUUCUGCCAAAUUGAGGUUUUCAUUACCUUCCACAGAAAAUGAUUCUCCAAAUGACAUCAUUAUUAUAAUAACAGGUGGGGCUCUCCCUCUCCCUCUCCCUCUCCCUCUCCCCACGGUCUCCCUCUCCCUCUCUUUCCAUGGUCUCCCCCUGAUGCCGAGCCAAAGCUGGACUGUACUGCUGCCAUCUUGG